UGGGGAAUAUUGGACAAUGGGCGGAAGCCUGAUCCAGCAACGCCGCGUGAGGGAUGACGGCCUUCGGGUUGUAAACCUCUUUCAGUACCGACGAAGCGAAAGUGACGGUAGGUACAGAAGAAGGACCGGCCAACUACGUGCCAGCAGCCGCGGUAAUACGUAGGGUCCGAGCGUUGUCCGGAAUUAUUGGGCGUAAAGGGCUCGUAGGCGGUUUGUCGCGUCGGGAGUGAAAACAGCGGGCUUAACUCGUUGCUUGCUUUCGAUACGGGGCAGACUAGAGGUAUGCAGGGGAGAAUGGAAUUCCUGGUGUAGCGGUGAAAUGCGCAGAUAUCAGGAGGAACACCGGUGGCGAAGGCGGUUCUCUGGGCAUUACCUGACGCUGAGGAGCGAAAGUGUGGGGAGCGAACAGGAUUAGAUACCCUGGUAGUCCACACCGUAAACGUUGGGCGCUAGGUGUGGGGUCCUUUCCACGGAUUCCGUGCCGUAGCUAACGCAUUAA
rnacentral:rRNA from 1 species